rnacentral:misc_RNA from 1 species
GAUCUUGUGCAUGACCUUGCAUUGUCACUUUCAAAUUCUGAGACAUGGACUGUGGAAAAUUGUUCUGCUGCUGAUGACAUAUCACUCAUUCGUCGUGCACAUGUGGAUAGCCAAAAUGCAUCCAUUUUAGCAGGUGGUGGUAAGAAGUUGCGUAGUUUAUUCAUAGAUGGUUUUGAGCUUGAUAAUUCUUGGAAGCUGAAAAGCUUGCGGGCCCUACACUUCAUGAUUCCUUAUAAUAUCAAAAAGUUGCCAUCUUCAGUUGGUAAGUUGAAACAUUUGAGAUUUCUUGACGUCUCAGGGACUGACAUCGAAGUGUUGCCUGAAUCCAUCGCCCAGCUCUAUAAUUUGCAAACAUUGAGAUUCCUUUGGUGCUACAUACUUAAGGAGGUUCCUAGAAAUAAAAUAUGCAAUCUGAUCAGCUUGAGUCACAUUGAAUUUAAUCAUGAUGACCAUAUGCCAUCUAAGGUGGGGCAGAUAACUUGUCUCCAAACACUAUCACUAUUUGUUGUUGGUCCAGAUAGGGGAGGCAGCAUUCAAGAAUUAGAAUGCUUAAAUCAACUAGGUGGCAAGUUGAAAAUAACUCAUCUUGAGAAGGUGAGAGACAAAGAAGAAGCCAAGAAGUCAAAUAUACAGAGGGAAAAAGAAAUUAAAAGCCCUUAAAUUUGAAUGGAGUGAUGGAAGAGAAAGCAGCAGUAAUGAUGAGCAAGUGUCGGAAGGUCUUGAGCCUCCCCCAAACAUAGAGAGAAUAAAGGUACAAAAUUACAUGGGUGAAAAGUUCCCGCU